ACCUUAAGUACGGCGAGUGACCGGGAAAGCUCAAUUUGUAAUCUGGCUGUCUUCGAUAGUCCGAGUUGUAAUCUAUAGACGUGUUUUCCGUGCUGGACCGUAUCUAAGUCCCUUGGAACAGGGUAUCAAAGAGGGUGACAAUCCCGUGCUUGAUACGACCACCAGUGCUCUGUGAUACACGCUCUACGAGUCGAGUUGUUUGGGAAUGCAGCUCAAAAUGGGUGGUAAAUUCCAUCUAAAGCUAAAUAUUGGCGAGAGACCGAUAGCGAACAAGUACCGUGAGGGAAAGAUGAAAAGCACUUUGGAAAGAGAGUUAAACAGUACGUGAAAUUGUUGAAAGGGAAACGAUUGAAGUCAGUCGUGUUCUUUGGAUUCAGCUAGUUCUUCUAGUCUACUUCCAUUGAACGGGUCAACAUCAGUUUUGUCCGGUGGAUAAAGAUAGUAGGAAUGUAGCUCCCCCGGGAGUGUUAUAGACUAUUAUUGCAUACACUGGGUGAGACUGAGGACUGCAGCUCGCCUUUUGGCCGGUCUUCGGACACGUUCGAGCUUAGGAUGUUGACAUAAUGGCUUUAAACGACCC
rnacentral:rRNA from 1 species